rnacentral:lncRNA from 13 species
UAAGGUAUUUAUAUUAACGUGACCUUGAUAGAACUUUAGAGAAACAAAAUAAUCAGAGUGGGCAAUAUUACUUUUGAUUUUCCACUCUGAGUUGAAAGCAGUAUUAAUCUUUAUUUCUAAUAUAAAUUUGUUUUUUUCUGCUGUUCAUAUGAUUAUAAAUUUUUUUAAAGAGUCAUGUGUUUCUUAGGAUUUACCAAAAUAGUUAUGUGUUAUUGAGAAAAUCUCUUGGGUUAAAUUGCUUGUGUCUAUUAAUUCUUUAAAUAUGAUUUUAAUAUCCAUACUGUUAGAUGCAGACACAAGUUUGUGGUUUUUAUGUAAACUUUAAGUAAAGACUGUUACUUUUUUUUUUUUGAGACAGAAUCUUACUCUGCUGCCCAGGCUGGAGUGCAGUGGUGCGAUCUCAGCUCACUACAACCUCCGCCUCCUGGGUUAAAGGAUUCUUCUGCCUCAGUCUGCAAAGUAGCUGGGAUUACAGGCAUGCACGACCACAUCUGGACUAGAAACUCAGGAGCUUUCCUCAUUCUUUUAUCAAGAAGAAAAUGACCAACAGGAGAAUGAUGUGAAAUUUGCUGAGACCUGAAUGAAAUGCAAGAAAAUACGAUUAUGAAAUGGUCUACCUAAUUAAUAAUGUUGCUAAAUUGAACUUCAGUGUCUGGUUGACAGCUGACUUAAUAUAACCUAAAUAGGAAGACAACAAAGCUCAUCUAGGAAAACUCAUUUUAAAGUUUAUUAAUGCUGUUGUCCGUACGCCUGCUGGCAGAUCAUUUUAUUUUCAGUGAAAGAGUCCUACAGAACCCCAUUAUAGGCCAUAUAACCUAUAUUAUGGUCCUUCUGUGUUGAGUGGGAGUGACACACAGUCCAUCCCCAUCUGGAAACAUCAUUUGAUGCAUGCUACGACUGAUUAGAUGGAACAACCUCUUUCUACAUAAUGAAGUUUACUGCAGAGAAAUUUACAGGGAAAAUAUUCGGUAAACACUAAGAUACCAAAUAUUUGCAUCUCUAUCAAUGAUCAUAUGGUCUCUCUCUCUCAAAUCCUAUAAUUGUACAAUUUAACAUAGCUGUAAACAUAGUGUGUGCAUAUGGUUUUGUGUUUUUGCUUUCUUCACCUAACAUAUCGCAUGCAUGUUUCCAUAAUGGAAUACACAAUACAAUUUUAAAGCCCACAGACGGUUUAACAUAUUGAUGUAUUUAGCGAAUAUUUUAAUACCACUUCUCUGUGCUCAAGCUAAUAUCCUAACAUCUGCCAAUUGGAAGUAAUU